rnacentral:rRNA from 1 species
UCUGCAACCCGACUACAUGAAGCUGGAAUCGCUAGUAAUCGCGAAUCAGAAUGUCGCGGUGAAUACGUUCCCGGGUCUUGUACACACCGCCCGUCACACCAUGGGAGUCGGAAAUGCCCGAAGUCAGUGACCCAACCACAACGUGAACUUCGUUCGCGUGGAGGGAGCUGCCGAAGGUGGAGCCGGUAACUGGGGUGAAGUCGUAACAAGGUACC